UGUGUGUGUGUACGGAGAGAGGGGCAGUGACUUGUGGUCUCUCACCUCCUAAAGGAAUGGGUGCGUUCUUCCAUCCGAGGUGAGGGGUCAAAGGUGAGGGGUGGGGGUCAGAGACUGAACUUGACCUAGGGACCGGUGUCCAGCCAGCAUCUUUCACAAACAACAAGAAAGCACACCAGUCACAGUUCAGAACAGGCUCUAUCCAUAGAGUUGGUUAGAGGACUCAACUUGGAUAUAACCUGUUUUAACACAGACAUUGCCACUGAGCGCUUACACCAUUGUAAAGUAGUCAACUGGGUGGGGAUUCCUAUGGGUUGGGAGCGAUCAGCCAAUUAUCAGAGCAUUCAAAUUGGGUGUUAUGGUUUAGAAAUGGCUUUAAGCUAUAUCACCGCCAUCUAGUGGCCAAAAUAAAUAAAUGACACUCAGGAUUUGGUUCAGGACUCCAGCACUGUAGGUGGCGGUAAAUCAACAAUAUUAGCUUUUCACUUUUUUCAAACACAAAAGAGGAAGAAAAUGUAUAACUUUAAAAUGGAGAUGGCCCAUGCUGUCAGAUGCCAUAAGGGCACAGACACGAAGUUGAGAUGUCUUUCCAUCUCUAUGGUUCUAUCUCAGUCUCCAAUGCAUUUCUUUACAUCAACUCUUAUUGCAAAAUGAUUCUGUUUUUUCACGCAUUGUAUUAAACCUUCCCAUAGUCGCCUCAUCUCAACUCUGAUUCAUACACUUCACACUUCUAUAUAUGACUUCAUACAACAAUAACCCACAGGGGGCAAACAUGUACCAAGGCCUCUUCCCCUGUUGCACUACCAUUCACCCAGCACUGCAAGAGGAAAACAAACUACCACGUCACAGUAGGGAACUGACAGUUGGUUAGUGUGUGACGUUCUCAGAGAUCCAACAGUUGGUUAGUGUGUGACGUUCUCAGAGAUCCAACAGUUGGUUAGCGUGUGACGCUCUCAGAGAUCCAACAGUUGGUUAGUGUGUGACGUUCUCAGAGAUCCAACAGUUGGUUAGCCGUGGACGCUCUCAGAGAUCCA
ensembl:lncRNA